AAAUUGAAGAGUUUGAUCAUGGCUCAGAUUGAACGCUGGCGGCAGGCCUAACACAUGCAAGUCGAGCGGAAACGAGUUAUCUGAACCUUCGGGGAACGAUAACGGCGUCGAGCGGCGGACGGGUGAGUAAUGCCUAGGAAAUUGCCCUGAUGUGGGGGAUAACCAUUGGAAACGAUGGCUAAUACCGCAUGAUGCCUACGGGCCAAAGAGGGGGACCUUCGGGCCUCUCGCGUCAGGAUAUGCCUAGGUGGGAUUAGCUAGUUGGUGAGGUAAGGGCUCACCAAGGCGACGAUCCCUAGCUGGUCUGAGAGGAUGAUCAGCCACACUGGAACUGAGACACGGUCCAGACUCCUACGGGAGGCAGCAGUGGGGAAUAUUGCACAAUGGGCGCAAGCCUGAUGCAGCCAUGCCGCGUGUGUGAAGAAGGCCUUCGGGUUGUAAAGCACUUUCAGUCGUGAGGAAGGUGGUGUAGUUAAUAGCUGCAUUAUUUGACGUUAGCGACAGAAGAAGCACCGGCUAACUCCGUGCCAGCAGCCGCGGUAAUACGGAGGGUGCGAGCGUUAAUCGGAAUUACUGGGCGUAAAGCGCAUGCAGGUGGUUUGUUAAGUCAGAUGUGAAAGCCCGGGGCUCAACCUCGGAAUUGCAUUUGAAACUGGCAGACUAGAGUACUGUAGAGGGGGUAGAAUUUCAGGUGUAGCGGUGAAAUGCGUAGAGAUCUGAAGGAAUACCGGUGGCGAAGGCGGCCCCCUGGACAGAUACUGACACUCAGAUGCGAAAGCGUGGGGAGCAAACAGGAUUAGAUACCCUGGUAGUCCACGCCGUAAACGAUGUCUACUUGGAGGUUGUGGCCUUGAGCCGUGGCUUUCGGAGCUAACGCGUUAAGUAGACCGCCUGGGGAGUACGGUCGCAAGAUUAAAACUCAAAUGAAUUGACGGGGGCCCGCACAAGCGGUGGAGCAUGUGGUUUAAUUCGAUGCAACGCGAAGAACCUUACCUACUCUUGACAUCCAGAGAACUUUCCAGAGAUGGAUUGGUGCCUUCGGGAACUCUGAGACAGGUGCUGCAUGGCUGUCGUCAGCUCGUGUUGUGAAAUGUUGGGUUAAGUCCCGCAACGAGCGCAACCCUUAUCCUUGUUUGCCAGCGAGUAAUGUCGGGAACUCCAGGGAGACUGCCGGUGAUAAACCGGAGGAAGGUGGGGACGACGUCAAGUCAUCAUGGCCCUUACGAGUAGGGCUACACACGUGCUACAAUGGCGCAUACAGAGGGCGGCCAACUUGCGAAAGUGAGCGAAUCCCAAAAAGUGCGUCGUAGUCCGGAUUGGAGUCUGCAACUCGACUCCAUGAAGUCGGAAUCGCUAGUAAUCGUGGAUCAGAAUGCCACGGUGAAUACGUUCCCGGGCCUUGUACACACCGCCCGUCACACCAUGGGAGUGGGCUGCAAAAGAAGUAGGUAGUUUAACCUUCGGGGGGACGCUUACCACUUUGUGGUUCAUGACUGGGGUGAAGUCGUAACAAGGUAGCGCUAGGGGAACCUGGCGCUGGAUCACCUCCUUA
rnacentral:rRNA from 1 species